rnacentral:misc_RNA from 1 species
UUUAAGCCUUCCAUUACCAUGGAAAAAGCCGUCAAGGCUUAAGCCCAACCCAUUACAAAGAAAAACGCCUGAAACCCAGAAAUAGGAAUCCUAGCAGGAUUGAAACUAACAAAACAACGAAGAACCCUUGCAAUGCCACCUUCUUCCCAAGGCUGGAGUUGGUGCAGAAACAAGGAAAAUAAGAUACUGAAGUUUCUAUGCAAAUAAACAUGCGUCCUAAGCACCAUUCGAAUCUAAACCCAGCCAAUUGCUGGACCUCAAAAGCCAAGCAAGUACCAUCGUCAACAAUAGCCACCAAAGGAGAAGGAGGGCAAAGCUCGUGGCCUCUCACUCUUGUAUAGUUUGGUGGGGUUUGGUAGUUGCUAGAGGGGCUGACUUACAAACCUAGAGAAAUACCCAACGCCGAAAACAAAGUUUCUCCACGGAAGUUGGUCACCA